rnacentral:hammerhead_ribozyme from 1 species
CCGGCUGACGAGUCCCAAAUAGGACGAAACGCGCGUCGUGG